rnacentral:rRNA from 1 species
AGAGUUUGAUCCUGGCUCAGAACGAACGCUGGCGGCAGGCUUAACACAUGCAAGUCGAGCGCCCCGCAAGGGGAGCGGCAGACGGGUGAGUAACGCGUGGGAACAUACCUCUUGGUUCGGAAUAACUCAGGGAAACUUGAGCUAAUACCGGAUACGUCCGAAAGGAGAAAGAUUUAUCGCCGAGAGAGUGGCCCGCGUCUGAUUAGCUAGUUGGUGAGGUAAAAGCUCACCAAGGCGACGAUCAGUAGCUGGUCUGAGAGGAUGAUCAGCCACACUGGGACUGAGACACGGCCCAGACUCCUACGGGAGGCAGCAGUGGGGAAUAUUGGACAAUGGGGGCAACCCUGAUCCAGCCAUGCCGCGUGAGUGAUGAAGGCCUUAGGGUUGUAAAGCUCUUUUACCAGGGAAGAUAAUGACUGUACCUGGAGAAUAAGCCCCGGCUAACUUCGUGCCAGCAGCCGCGGUAAUACGAAGGGGGCUAGCGUUGUUCGGAAUCACUGGGCGUAAAGCGCACGUAGGCGGGCCGAUAAGUCGGAGGUGAAAGCCUGGGG